rnacentral:lncRNA from 1 species
CCAGAUUUUCCUACAAGAAAUCCCGUUCUUCAAAUCCAAAACAUGCAUACACAUCAUCAAAUCUAUUAUCUAUUUUUCAUAAGAAAUCAAAUAGAAUAAAUAUUAUAAUUACAUGGAAAAAGGAAAGGAGGGGAUGGGGGAAUUGUUGUCGGAGAGGUGAGAGGGGGCGGCUGAAUAACGCCGCCGUGCGCUGUUGCUGGCGGAGGGCGUCGGCUGGCGGAAGGAAGAGAAGGGGCAGCGGUGCGGUGGUCUUGGCCGCUGCUGUGCUGGACCGGUCGGACAGAUGGAGAAGGCGCCUGGGCAGCGCCGCUGUCGACGCGAGGGCGGCGAUGGUGGUGCUGCUGUCGGCCAGAAGAGUGAAGGGAGGUGAGGGCGACGCCGGGCAGGAAUAGGUGGCGACGAAGGGUCGCCGGGGAAGAGGGGCGCAGCUGCGGCUGGUGCAGUGAGGACAAGGGCAAGGGAGGAGGAAGAGAGAUGAGGGAGAAGGGCGAGAAGUGAGGGAGAGUGAGAGGGAGACAGGAGCUGAGGGAAAACAGAGAGAGGUCGAAGGGAAGGAGAGAGGAGGCAGAGCCACCGGCCUCCGGCGGCGGCGUGCCGUCUGGGACAGCGGCAGGAGGCCGAGAAGAAGAGAGGGAGGAGGGCUGAGAGAGGGAG